CCUCCUCCUCCUCCUAGCCGCCAGACUGAGCCGGGGGCGGGAGGGGGGGUCUCCGUGAAACUUCACUCCCCCCGCUGGCUGGGCAACAGGCCGACCACUGAUUUCCCUGGGGGGGGCAUUGAGCCCUGAGGGGAAUUACAGGCUUUCAGUAAGUCCUUUGGUAAUGGAAUGUUUAAUCCUUGAGUGCCCAAUGUGCCCUGAAAGAGAAGUAAAGGAUGGAACUGACCCCACUGUGGCAUUUUAACUUUCUCAGAAGUGUCCUGAGCAGGGGAGAUAAGCUUGGCUGCUCCCAACACUGCAUGAAGAUUCAAAAGCUGCCUACCUAAAUCUCCCACACCAACUUCCGGAAGCCCAAAGAGUAGUUGUCUUAGGGUGAACUUAGAAAGUAACCCGGUUUGGUGGUUCUGGAAAAGCAGCCAAGGAGUCCAUAUUUAUACCUGUGAAACAAUGCAUCAUGAAAACUGUUUGAGUAAUCUGGCCAGUUUUGUUAUUUUCUUUCUCUUAACUGUAUUUGUCUUGUUUUGUAUGAAUUGUGGUUGAAAAGAAAUACUUCAGGCUUAAA